UACGGAGGGGGCUAGCGUUGUUCGGAAUUACUGGGCGUAAAGCGCACGUAGGCGGCUUUGUAAGUUAGAGGUGAAAGCCUGGGGCUCAACUCCAGAACUGCCUUUAAGACUGCAUCGCUUGAACACGGGAGAGGUGAGUGGAAUUCUGAGUGUAGAGGUGAAAUUCGUAGAUAUUCGGAAGAACACCAGUGGCGAAGGCGGCUCACUGGACCGUUGUUGACGCUGAGGUGCGAAAGCGUGGGGAGCAAACAGG
rnacentral:rRNA from 1 species